CCUACGGGGGGCAGCAGUGAGGAAUAUUGGUCAAUGGGCGAGAGCCUGAACCAGCCAAGUCGCGUGAAGGAUGAAGGAUCUAUGGUUUGUAAACUUCUUUUCUAUGGGAAUAAAGUGAGGAACGUGUUCCCUUUUGUAUGUACCAUAUGAAAAAGCAUCGGCUAACUCCGUGCCAGCAGCCGCGGUAAUACGGAGGAUGCGAGCGUUAUCCGGAUUUAUUGGGUUUAAAGGGUGCGUAGGCGGGCUUUUAAGUCAGCGGUAAAAAUUCGGGGCUCAACCCCGUCCGGCCGUUGAAACUGGGGGCC
rnacentral:rRNA from 1 species